ACGAACGCUGGCGGCGUGCCUAAUACAUGCAAGUCGAACGCUUCUUUCCUCCCGAGUGCUUGCACUCAAUUGGAAAGAGGAGUGGCGGACGGGUGAGUAACACGUGGGUAACCUACCCAUCAGAGGGGGAUAACACUUGGAAACAGGUGCUAAUACCGCAUAACAGUUUAUGCCGCAUGGCAUAAGAGUGAAAGGCGCUUUCGGGUGUCGCUGAUGGAUGGACCCGCGGUGCAUUAGCUAGUUGGUGAGGUAACGGCUCACCGAGGCCACGAUGCAUAGCCGACCUGAGAGGGUGAUCGGCCACACUGGGACUGAGACACGGCCCAGACUCCUACGGGAGGCAGCAGUAGGGAAUCUUCGGCAAUGGACGAAAGUCUGACCGAGCAACGCCGCGUGAGUGAAGAAGGUUUUCGGAUCGUAAAACUCUGUUGUUAGAGAAGAACAAGGACGUUAGUAACUGAACGUCCCCUGACGGUAUCUAACCAGAAAGCCACGGCUAACUACGUG
rnacentral:rRNA from 1 species